rnacentral:rRNA from 1 species
CUUCUAGCUUGCUAGAAGUGGAUUAGUGGCGCACGGGUGAGUAAGGUAUAGUUAAUCUGCCCUACACAAGAGGACAACAGUUGGAAACGACUGCUAAUACUCUAUAUUCCUGCUUAACACAAGUUGAGUAGGGAAAGUUUUUCGGUGUAGGAUGAGACUAUAUAGUAUCAGCUAGUUGGUAAGGUAAUGGCUUACCAAGGCUAUGACGCUUAACUGGUCUGAGAGGAUGAUCAGUCACACUGGAACUGAGACACGGUCCAGACUCCUACGGGAGGCAGCAGUAGGGAAUAUUGCGCAAUGGGGGAAACCCUGACGCAGCAACGCCGCGUGGAGGAUGACACUUUUCGGAGCGUAAACUCCUUUUCUUAGGGAAGAAUUCUGACGGUACCUAAGGAAUAAGCACCGGCUAACUCCGUGCCAGCAGCCGCGGUAAUACGGAGGGUGCAAGCGUUACUCGGAAUCACUGGGCGUAAAGGGCGCGUAGGCGGAUUAUCAAGUCUCUUGUGAAAUCUAAUGGCUUAACCAUUAAACUGCUUGGGAAACUGAUAGUCUGGAGUGAGGGAGAGGCAGAUGGAAUUGGUGGUGUAGGGGUAAAAUCCGUAGAUAUCACCAAGAAUACCCAUUGCGAAGGCGAUCUGCUGGAACUCAACUGACGCUAAGGCGCGAAAGCGUGGGGAGCAAACAGGAUUAGAUACCCUGGUAGUCCACGCCCUAAACGAUGUACACUAGUUGUUGGGGUGCUAGUCAUCUCAGUAAUGCAGCUAACGCAUUAAGUGUACCGCCUGGGGAGUACGGUCGCAAGAUUAAAACUCAAAGGAAUAGACGGGGACCCGCACAAGCGGUGGAGCAUGUGGUUUAAUUCGAAGAUACGCGAAGAACCUUACCUGGGCUUGAUAUCCUAAGAACCUCUUAGAGAUAAGAGGGUGCUAGCUUGCUAGAACUUAGAGACAGGUGCUGCACGGCUGUCGUCAGCUCGUGUCGUGAGAUGUUGGGUUAAGUCCCGCAACGAGCGCAACCCACGUAUUUAGUUGCUAACGGUUCGGCCGAGCACUCUAAAUAGACUGCCUUCGUAAGGAGGAGGAAGGUGUGGACGACGUCAAGUCAUCAUGGCCCUUAUGCCCAGGGCGACACACGUGCUACAAUGGCAUAUACAAUGAGACGCAAUACCGCGAGGUGGAGCAAAUCUAUAAAAUAUGUCCCAGUUCGGAUUGUUCUCUGCAACUCGAGAGCAUGAAGCCGGAAUCGCUAGUAAUCGUAGAUCAGCCAUGCUACGGUGAAUACGUUCCCGGGUCUUGUACUCACCGCCCGUCACACCAUGGGAGUUGAUUUCACUCGAAGCCGGAAUACUAAACUAGUUACCGUCCACAGUGGAAUCAGCGACUGGGGUGAAGUCGUAACAAGGUAACCGUAGGA